AUUUGAAAGAGUCCUCACAAGCUGAGCUGAAUUGAUCUCUAUUAGAUUCAGCAUCCCAUAUAUCAUGAUCCUCAUCACCACCAGAAUGCCCCGCAUGGUAGGGUAGAUUCUUACUCUCGGCAGAUGUGUUUAUUUAACCGAAAAUAUGGAAGCCCAGAUUGUUGAACCCGAAACCGAAGAGGCCUUACCUCCUGGCCAGAGGGACGAGCUGUGGCUGCGAGGUCCAACAGUCAUGAAAGGUACCUCCAGCUGAGUUGGAACCUAUACUUCAAUCCCAUCCCGACAUUGCCGAUGCUGCUGUGAUUCCGUAUCCUGAUGAAGAAGCAGGGCAGAUUCCCAUGGCCUAUGUAGUUAUAAAGCCAGGAAGCAAUAUCAAUGAGGCUGCAGUUAUGGAUUUUGUUGCAGAACAAGUAUGCUCCUGAAUACUUGUAAAAAAAUCCAAUUGAUUCUUUUCAUAAGAAGAUUCAACGUGUAUCGUUUAUCAACUCGAUUUCGAAAUCUCCAGCAGGAAAGAUCUUGAGGAGGGAGCUCGUUAGUCAUGCUCUAUCUAGCCGUUCAUCUAAAUUAUGAUUUACUUCUUCAAACAAAGGAAAGCUUGCUGAGCAUUGCAUUCCAAUUCAACAUACCAACUUGUUCAUGUUCUUUAGCAUGUAUAUAAAUGCAAUCGAUCUUGGAAGUCACAGUUGUUAUGUUUCUGAUCAGAAUUCGACCUUAUAAAGCCUUUUGUAAGAUAAACGUAUGUUUGAACCUAAUUGAAAUCUGGCCGGGUGAAGCACAACCUUUCCACACAUUAUUUGUCUUUGUUUUGCGUCCACAUUAUUUAUGUUUACUGUAUAUCUAUCUGUGAGAGAGUUUGAAAUUCAUCAUUCAAUCAA